GCGGAGGUGGUGAAAUUGGUAGACACGCUACUUUGAGGGGGUAGUGGCCGUUCGGCUGUGUGAGUUCGAGUCUCAUCCUCCGUA
rnacentral:tRNA from 1 species